rnacentral:hammerhead_ribozyme from 2 species
AGGCGAAACCCCCUCUCGGGGGUUCACGGACCUGGCGUGUCCGUGCUGAUGAUGCCUGCCAAGA